AUUGAACGCUGGCGGCAGGCCUAACACAUGCAAGUCGAGCGAGCGGCGGACGGGUGAGUAAUGUCUGGGGAUCUGCCUGAUUGAGGGGGAUAACUACUGGAAACGGUAGCUAAUACCGCAUACCAUCAGAUGUGCCCAUAUGGGAUUAGCUUGUGGGUGGGGUAAAGGCGCACCAAGGCGACGAUCCCUAGCUGGUCUGAGAGGAUGACCAGCCAUACUGGAACUGAGACACGGGCUAGACUCCUACGGGAGGCAGCAGUGGGGAAUAUUGCACAAUGGGCGAAAGACUGAUGCAGCCAUGCCGCGUGUAUGAAGAAGGCCUUAGGGUUGUAAAGUACUUUCAGCGGGGAGGCGUUACCCGCAGAAGAAGCACCGGCUAACUCCGUGCCAGCCGCCGCGGUAAUUC
rnacentral:rRNA from 1 species